AUGUGGGGAAAUCUAUCUUUAAGUAGGGAUAAAUUACUCUAAAAUAAAUGAAUCCUAGUUUUUCCUUUAAAGAAAACAUCUUAU
rnacentral:pre_miRNA from 1 species